rnacentral:rRNA from 1 species
UACGUAGGGGGCGAGCGUUGUCCGGAGUUACUGGGCGUAAAGGGCAUGCAGGCGGUCUGGCGCGUUUUGUGUGACAGCGGGGGGCUCAACUCCCCGAGCAUGCGAAAGACGGUUGGACUUGAGGGCUCGAGAGGGGCACGGAAUUCCGGGUGGAGUGGUGAAAUGCGUAGAGAUCCGGAGGAACACCGAAGGCGAAGGCAGUGUCCUGGCGAGUGACUGACGCUGAGGUGCGAAAGCCAGGGGAGCGAACGGG